rnacentral:tmRNA from 1 species
GGGGUCGACCGGUUUUGACAGCUUAAACGGUUGAUGGUAAGCACGUCGGGAGUUGUAGGUAUUUCCUGUUAAAAAAACCUUCGAACAAUAGCUGGCAAUACUUCGUAUGCCAUGGCUGCUUAAUCAGGAAGAUUAACCAAUAGCCAUCGUUCAGCCUCUUUCAAACUCUGCCGAGGAGGGCAUCUGAGCGUCGACAUGCAGAGUCGAUAGGUGUGAUUUCUUUAAACACUUGUUAGUAUCCAAAGAAUAAGUUAACAAUGUGGCUGGCUGCUGGCCUGCUGUUAAUCGAAAAUUAAAAGCAACUAAACGUGUAGAAAGCUAUGGAUUGUUAGGUUUGGACGAGGGUUCGAAUCCCUCCGACUCCACAA